rnacentral:rRNA from 1 species
GACGAACGCUGGCGGCGUGCUUAACACAUGCAAGUCGAACGGAAAGGCCCUGCUUUUGUGGGGUGCUCGAGUGGCGAACGGGUGAGUAACACGUGAGUAACCUGCCCUUGACUUUGGGAUAACUUCAGGAAACUGGGGCUAAUACCGGAUAGGAGCUCCUGCUGCAUGGUGGGGGUUGGAAAGUUUCGGUGGUUGGGGAUGGACUCGCGGCUUAUCAGCUUGUUGGUGGGGUAGUGGCUUACCAAGGCUUUGACGGGUAGCCGGCCUGAGAGGGUGACCGGCCACAUUGGGACUGAGAUACGGCCCAGACUCCUACGGGAGGCAGCAGUGGGGAAUAUUGCACAAUGGGCGGAAGCCUGAUGCAGCAACGCCGCGUGCGGGAUGACGGCCUUCGGGUUGUAAACCGCUUUCGCCUGUGACGAAGCGUGAGUGACGGUAAUGGGUAAAGAAGCACCGUCUAACUACGUG